rnacentral:rRNA from 1 species
GACAGAGGAUGCAAGCGUUAUCCGGAAUGAUUGGGCGUAAAGCGUCUGUAGGUGGCUUUUCAAGUCCGCCGUCAAAUCCCAGGGCUCAACCCUGGACAGGCGGUGGAAACUACCAAGCUGGAGUACGGUAGGGGCAGAGGGAAUUUCCGGUGGAGCGGUGAAAUGCAUUGAGAUCGGAAAGAACACCGGUGGCGAAAGCGCUCUGCUGGACCUUAACUGACACUGAGGGACGAAAGCUAGGGGAGCGAAUGGG